rnacentral:RNase_P_RNA from 1 species
ACUGCAAACCGCUCUAUCGUUUUGCUAAGCAAUUAGCGAAAAGGAAAGUCCGGACAACGUAGAGUACCACACCACCUAACGGAUGGGGUUUUUUUAUUAUCUUGAUAAUAAAGAAAUACAGAUAGUGUCGCAGAAAAUUACCGCCCUAAGCAAUCAGGGUAAGGGUGAAAACGUGCGGUAAGAGCGCACGACUUUUCCAAGUAAUUGGAAAAGUGGAUAAACCUUGUGGGUUGAAAUGCCACGUACAUUUCAGUUUUCCUUUUUGGAAAGUGGAGUUGCUCGCUCCAUUGUCUUGAAUUUUUGAGACAGCAGGAAGGGGUAGGCAGAUUGGGUUCGUCGGUAACGAUGAAACUAGAUAAAUGAUAGGGGCUUUUGUUUUGCUUUUGAGCGAAAUUGAGGUUACAGAAUUCGGCUUACAGGUUUGCAGUUUUU